rnacentral:tRNA from 1 species
UAUAUUUUAGUAUAAAAUGUAUAAGAAAUUUUGAAUUUUUAGGGGGCAGUUUAAUUGCCAAAUAUAA